rnacentral:rRNA from 1 species
GAUGAACGCUGGCGGCGUGCCUAAUACAUGCAAGUCGAGCGAACGGACGAGAAGCUUGCUUCUCUGAUGUUAGCGGCGGACGGGUGAGUAACACGUGGAUAACCUACCUAUAAGACUGGGAUAACUUCGGGAAACCGGAGCUAAUACCGGAUAAUAUUUUGAACCGCAUGGUUCAAAAGUGAAAGACGGUCUUGCUGUCACUUAUAGAUGGAUCCGCGCUGCAUUAGCUAGUUGGUAAGGUAACGGCUUACCAAGGCAACGAUGCAUAGCCGACCUGAGAGGGUGAUCGGCCACACUGGAACUGAGACACGGUCCAGACUCCUACGGGAGGCAGCAGUAGGGAAUCUUCCGCAAUGGGCGAAAGCCUGGCGGAGCAACGCCGCGUGAGUGAUGAAGGUCUUCGGAUCGUAAAACUCUGUUAUUAGGGAAGAACAUAUGUGUAAGUAACUGUGCACAUCUUGACGGUACCUAAUCAGAAAGCCACGGCUGACUACGUG